rnacentral:misc_RNA from 1 species
UCUCCGUAGGUGAACCUGCGGAAGGAUCAUUACCGUACAAAAUGUGACGGAAAUGCGAGGGCUGUCGCUCACCCUAAAGUCGUGCAAGCCCGAGUGUGUCCGCUUGCAUAAUAAUCAAUCUCACCCUUUGGGCAUCACCGCGUGGGCACCCUUCGGGAUCAUCUCGCAGGGGGGCUCGGGUUUUCACACACACCCCCCUUUUAAAGUGUAGAAUGACCACAUUUAUGAAAUAAAUACAACUUUCAACAACGGAUCUCUUGGCUCUG